CCUACGGGAGGCAGCAGUGAGGAAUAUUGGUCAAUGGGCGUAAGCCUGAACCAGCCAAGUCGCGUGAAGGAUGAAUGUUCUAUGGAUCGUAAACUUCUUUUAUAAAGGAAUAAAAUGAGGCACGUGUGCCUUUUUGUAUGUAUUUUAUGAAUAAGGAUCGGCUAACUCCGUGCCAGCAGCCGCGGUAAUACGGAGGAUCCGAGCGUUAUCCGGAUUUAUUGGGUUUAAAGGGAGCGUAGAUGGGUUGUUAAGUCAGUUGUGAAAGUUUGCGGCUCAACCGUAAAAUUGCAAUUGAUACUGGCAGCCUUGAGUACAGUUGAGGUAGGCGGAAUUCGUGGUGUAGCGGUGAAAUGCUUAGAUAUCACGCAGAACUCCGAUUGCGAAGGCAGCCCACUAAUCUGCCAUUGACAUUGAUGCUCGAAAGUGUGGGUAUCAAACAGGAUUAGAUACCCCGGUAGUC
rnacentral:rRNA from 1 species